UAUUAGGUUUUUUAAUUUAUUUUUUUAUUUAUUAUUAUUAUGAUAGAAUUAACUUUUGGUAUUAGUAUAUUUUAUAAAAUAUACAUUUUAAUUUUUAUAGUUUAUUUUACUGUGAGGGUUUAUUAUCUAAAUUGUUUAAAGUAAAAUUUUUUGUUUGUACCUUUUGCAUCAGGGUUUAUUAAAUUAUCUUAUUUAUAAAUAGUUUUCCCGAAAUUAUAGGAGAUAUAUUUGUUUGUUAUUUAUUGUUUUAAAACUAUUAAUUAAAUAAAUAUAGGGGAGAUAUUCUAUUCAACUAUAAAUAUCUGGUUCUCUAAUAAAUGAAUUUAAUUCAGGGUCAUUUACAAUUACUAGAUAAUUAUAUUUUGUCUAAUUUAAUUGAUCUAAUAAUAUGGGGGAUUAGCUCUUUGUUAUUUUUAUAGCUUUAAGUUUUAAUUUAUAAAUUUUGUAGGAUUAGUAAUAUUCUUCAUUUAUUUUGUUGUAAUUAUUUUUAUAAAUAUUUAUUUAUUUCAUUCUGGCUUGAAUUUUUAUUAGAGUUUUUAAAUUAAUUUUUAAUUUAAAGUGAUAAUGAUAAAAUUAGUAAUUUUUAUAAUUUAAGUAUAAUAAUUCGGCAAAUAUGAUUCUUACCUGUUUAUCAAAAACAUGUCCUAUUGUUUAUUUAUUUUAGGUCUGGCCUGCUCAAUGAUUAUUAUUUUAAAUAGCCGCAGUAUUUUGACUGUGCAAAGGUAGCAUAAUCAUUUGUCUCUUAAUUGGGGGCUUGUAUGAAUGGUUUGAUAAGGAUUCAACUUUCUUUACUUAAUAUUAAUGAAUUUAAUUUUUGGGUUAAAAAGCUCAAAUAUUUUUAUGGGACGAGAAGACCCUAUAGAAAUUUACUCUAUUUUUGGUGUUUAUUUUUAUUUUUUUUGGAAUUUUUAUCAUUACUAGAGUUUUGUUGGGGUGACAUGAAGAUUGUUAUAACUCUUUGUUAUUACUUUUUAUUUAUUUAUAUAUAACUGAUCCUUUUUUAUGGAUUAAAAGAUUAAUUUACCUUAGGGAUAACAGCGUAAUUUCUUUGGAGAGUUCAUAUUGAUGAAGAAGUUUGCGACCUCGAUGUUGGAUUAAAAUAAGUGUUAAGUGCAGCAGCUUAAUUACUAGGUCUGUUCGACCUUUAAUUUUUUACAUGAUCUGAGUUCAGACCGGCGUGAGCCAGGUCGGUUUCUAUCUUUAAUUUAUCUAUAUUAUGUUUUAGUACGAAAGGACCAAAUAUAACAGUUAUUACUGUAAAAUUAUGAUUUAUAUUAAUU
rnacentral:rRNA from 1 species